AGAGUUUGAUCAUGGCUCAGAACGAACGCUGGCGGCGUGCCUAACACAUGCAAGUCGCGCGAGAAAGGGGAGCAAUCCCCGAGUAAAGCGGCAGACGGGUGAGUAACACGUGGGCAACCUGCCCUCGAGCGGGGAAUAACAUCUCGAAAGAGGUGCUAAUACCGCAUAACAUCCAUGGACCUGCGGAUUCGUGGAUCAAAGGUGGGGAUCUUCGGACCUACCACUCGAGGAGGAACCCGCGCCUGAUUAGCUAGUUGGUGGGGUAACGGCCUACCAAGGCGACGAUCAGUAGCCGGCCUGAGAGGGUGAAUGGCCACACUGGAACUGAGACACGGUCCAGACUCCUACGGGAGGCAGCAGUGAGGAAUUUUGCGCAAUGGGCGAAAGCCUGACGCAGCAACGCCGCGUGGACGAUGAAGGUCUUCGGAUCGUAAAGUCCUGUCGAGUGGGAAGAAGAAUGUGAAGGCCAAUACCCUUCGCAUUAGACUGUACCACCAGAGGAAGCCCCGGCUAACUCCGUGCCAGCAGCCGCGGUAAUACGGAGGGGGCGAGCGUUGUUCGGAAUUAUUGGGCGUAAAGGGCGCGUAGGCGGCCGAUCAAGUCUGACGUGAAAUCCCUCGGCCUAACCGAGGAACUGCGUUUGAAACUGUUCGGCUCGAGUCCGGGAGAGGGUAGUGGAAUUCCCAGUGUAGCGGUGAAAUGCGUAGAUAUUGGGAGGAACACCGGUGGCGAAGGCGGCUACCUGGACCGGUACUGACGCUGAGGCGCGAAAGCCAGGGGAGCAAACAGGAUUAGAUACCCUAGUAGUCC
rnacentral:rRNA from 1 species